AAAGAUUUCUUCGGAAUGAAUUUGAUUUAGUUUAGUGGCGGACGGGUGAGUAACGCGUGAGUAACCUGCCUUCAAGAGGGGGAUAACAUUCUGAAAAGAAUGCUAAUACCGCAUGACAUAUCGGAACCACAUGGUUCUGAUAUCAAAGAUUUUAUCGCUUGAAGAUGGACUCGCGUCCGAUUAGUUAGUUGGUGAGGUAACGGCUCACCAAGACCGCGAUCGGUAGCCGGACUGAGAGGUUGAACGGCCACAUUGGGACUGAGACACGGCCCAGACUCCUACGGGAGGCAGCAGUGGGGGAUAUUGCGCAAUGGGGGCAACCCUGACGCAGCAACGCCGCGUGAAGGAUGAAGGUUUUCGGAUUGUAAACUUCUUUUAUUAAGGACGAAAAAUGACGGUACUUAAUGAAUAAGCUCCGGCUAACUACGUGCCAGCAGCCGCGGUAAUACGUAGGGAGCAAGCGUUGUCCGGAUUUACUGGGUGUAAAGGGUGCGUAGGCGGCUUUGCAAGUCAGAUGUGAAAUCUAUGGGCUCAACCCAUAAACUGCAUUUGAAACUGUAGAGCUUGAGUGAGGUAGAGGCAGGCGGAAUUCCCCGUGUAGCGGUGAAAUGCGUAGAGAUGGGGAGGAACACCAGUGGCGAAGGCGGCCUGCUGGGCUUUAACUGACGCUGAGGCACGAAAGCGUGGGUAGCAAACAGGAUUAGAUACCCUGGUAGUCCACGCUGUAAACGAUGAUUNCUAGGUGUGGGGGGUCUGACCCCUUCCGUGCCGGA
rnacentral:rRNA from 1 species